rnacentral:rRNA from 1 species
AUUGAACGCUGGCGGCAGGCCUAACACAUGCAAGUCGAGCGGAUGAAGGGAGCUUGCUCCUGGAUUCAGCGGCGGACGGGUGAGUAAUGCCUAGGAAUCUGCCUGGUAGUGGGGGAUAACGUCCGGAAACGGGCGCUAAUACCGCAUACGUCCUGAGGGAGAAAGUGGGGGAUCUUCGGACCUCACGCUAUCAGAUGAGCCUAGGUCGGAUUAGCUAGUUGGUGGGGUAAAGGCCUACCAAGGCGACGAUCCGUAACUGGUCUGAGAGGAUGAUCAGUCACACUGGAACUGAGACACGGUCCAGACUCCGACGGGAGGCAGCAGGGGGGAAUAUUGGACAAUGGGCGAAAGCCUGAUCCAGCCAUGCCGCGGGGGUGAAGAAGGGCUUCGGAUUGUAAAGCACUUUAAGUUGGGAGGAAGGGCAGUAAGUUAAUACCUGGCUGUUUGGACGUUACCAACAGAAUAAGCACCGGCUAACUGCGU